GCUGUCCUCUCUGAGGCAGGACCCGUGCUUAGCACCAGCGUCGGGCAACAGGGGUUGGCCAAAGGAAUACUGAUUGCGUGGAGUGAACAGUAAAUAUGUCAAAGAAAGCCCUGUUGUGCGUGAUUACUAAUUUCAGUUUGGCAAGGUCACAGCUAAUUUGCUAAGCCACGAAGAGCGAUACGGCAAAGAGGUUUUUUGAUUGGCCCUGCUGCAAGGCCUGGCCGUCUCCGUGACUUUUCAGCCCGGGCGAGAAUCACAAAACAGCUCGACUGCGUGUCUCCGAGUCAAAAUGUCUCCUUGCUGCAGAGGAACCAUUAAAAAGUGCUUCCCGACUGUGUGCUCAUCUGCUCCACUUUCCAAAUCAUCCCAGCAGACUCCAACGCCUCACCGCUCACAUCCACCCUGUCAAUCAACAAUUGUGCUCCGUCACUUCCCUAUAGCGAGCCAAUGAGCUCGCCUCCCACUCGAGAUGACUGACUGACAGCUCGGCAGCGUCUGCAGCAUCCAUCCGAAGAUGAACUUGAAAAAAUGGUUACAAUAAAGGCUUACAGGUCCAAAUAUUUGGUAAUCCUGCAUCAUUUAAUUACAGAAAACAAAACAAAACUAAAACUGCAUGAUUACAAUAUUAGCGUGAAAGAAAAACCUCUUUUUUCAGUAUCACACACUGUUCACCUCGAAAUUAAUUCACAGCUAUAACCGAGGAAGUGAAGGAUUUAUAACUUUUUAUCCCCUGCACUUUUUCCACCCGACAAAACAAAAUAAGCCUCUACAUAAAUCUCUUACGGUGAUAUUGAUCAAAUAAUAAAAUGAGUGUAUUUGCCAACAUCUUGGACCCAAGGGCAUUAAGGUGCUACUGGUAAACGCACGCUCGCUCAGUAAUGCUGUAAUAUACAGCAGAUAUAACUGAUGGGAGCGCUGGAGGACUGUUUGGGUUUUGCACCAAUAAAAAUGUUUUAUUCUACUCAAAGAAAGUUGUUGGGCCAUUGUAUAUGGCGGGGAAUUGGAAACUGUUUGCCAUUCGCAAAUGAAUAGCCUUGAUUUGUUCCAGUGAUGAAAAUCACAUCAACCUUGUCUUCUUGCUUGCCAUAUUCUUUGACUCUGAAUCUCUCGUGUAGCGUACGGCAUUGUUAGCGCUAAUUAACCCCGAACCUAGUAAGCCGUAUGAGUUUGUUGUACGACAGCUACACUGAAGUGCAAUUAGCAAAAUGAAUGCAAAUCUGUAUUGCUUGUUAAAUACUCUUUUAAAAGUUCUGUUCCUGAAGCCCGCUCAUAUUCAUUUCCAGCAUGUCGAUUUUCAACACCUUAUUUAAUUAUAUCUGUUGUAUAAUUUGUGCUUGACUAAACGCAUCCUGUCCUUGGCAGUGGAGAUACGUGCAGCCCACUACUACAUUAGGUUUGUGGGAGUUUUGAGGACGGAGGCCCAAAAAUGGAGAGAACACC